AGAGCGAACGCUGGCGGCAGGCCUAACACAUGCAAGUCGAACGGACUCUUCGGAGUUAGUGGCGGACGGGUGAGUAACACGUGGGAACGUGCCUUUAGGUUCGGAAUAGCUCCUGGAAACGGGUGGUAAUGCCGAAUGUGCCCUUCGGGGGAAAGAUUUAUCGCCUUUAGAGCGGCCCGCGUCUGAUUAGCUAGUUGGUGAGGUAAAGGCUCACCAAGGCUACGAUCAGUAGCUGGUCUGAGAGGAUGACCAGCCACAUUGGGACUGAGACACGGCCCAAACUCCUACGGGAGGCAGCAGUGGGGAAUCUUGCGCAAGUGGGCGAAAGCCUGACGCAGCCAUGCCGCGUGAACUGAUGAAGGUCUUAGGAUUGUAAAUUCUUUCAGUAGGGACGAUAAUGACGUACUACAGAAGAAGCCCCGGCUAACUUCGUACCAGCAGCCGC
rnacentral:rRNA from 1 species